rnacentral:ncRNA from 2 species
AAGAACUACCGCAACUGACGGAAUCAAGGUGGACACCACCGGGGAGCGGAAGUCAUAUAGCCUUUAGAUUGAUAAGCCGACCGUCUGGGCAAGAUAC